rnacentral:rRNA from 1 species
UACGUAGGGUGCGAGCGUUGUCCGGAAUUAUUGGGCGUAAAGAGCUCGUAGGCGGUUUGUUGCGUCGGCUGUGAAAUCCCGAGGCUCAACCUCGGGUCUGCAGUCGAUACGAGCAAACUAGAGUGUUGCAGGGGAGACUGGAAUUCCUGGUGUAGCGGUGAAAUGCGCAGAUAUCAGGAGGAACACCGGUGGCGAAGGCGGGUCUCUGGGCCGAUACUGACGCUGAGGAGCGAAAGCGUGGGGGAGCGAACAGG